AGAGAGAGGAUUUUACAGAAAAAAGAAAAAAAUUUCCCAAGAUGUUUUAUAAAAUUGGAAACUGAGGAAUAAAGAGAAAAAAUAUAUAAAUAAAUAAAAAAAAAAGAAUGAAAAAACCCAAACAAAACAAACAAUGCAGCAAAGUGAGACGUCGAAUUCGAAACUGCUCUCACGAGAUUCACUUUCAGCACUGCUAUCACCACCCUAAGAUUUUCUUGCUGUUUUACAGUGUUGGACGAUAACACAGAGCUUAAUAUGGAGCACUCUUAUCUUCUCAUCAGGCAAAAAUUCAGAGAGCAACAAACAAAAAAAAAAGGAAAAAUUUUUUUUUAAAUUCUGCCCGACACAAAAGCCAGCUAUUUAUUAUAUGUAUAUAUGUAUAUAUGUGUAUAUAUAUAUAUAUGUGCGUGUGUGUGUGUGUAUGUGUGUGUAUGUGUGUGUGCGUGUACGUAUAUAUACACACAUAUACAUUGUGUGUGUUUAUCAAACUAUUUAAAAUUAUUAUGUAACUCUUAUUAAUGUAUUGAGUGCGUUUUCUUUUGUUUGACCACUCACUCACACACAUAUGCACACACAAAUAUAUAUGCAUGUAUGUACGUAGUAGAUACCGCUUAUUGUGAUCAUAGAUAAUGUUAUCAAACUGUUAUAUUGUUAUAUUCUCUGCGUAAUGCUAUCAAGACGUUUAUAUAGCCUAAAAAAAGAUCCGUCCUAAAAUGAUCACAAUAAACGGCUUCAACUACGUAUAUACUGAAUAUAUACACACACAUCCGUAUAUAUAUGCAUACACUCACUCACACAUACAUACAUACGUACGUACGUACAUACAUACAUACAUACAUACAUACAUACAUACAUACAUACAUACAUACAUACAUAUAUACAUACAUAUAUACGUAUAAACAUAUAUAGCUGUGGCAUAUGAAGGCAUUUUGAAUAAUUUUACUAACAGAGUUAUUUCCCAUUUCUCCCCUCUCCUCACUUUUCCAACAUGUACUUUUGUACAAUUUAAUUUUUAUUUUUAUAAACUGGUGUUAUUAAAUCAUUGGGCUUGCUUCAUUUUACUUUUAAUUUCAUUGAAUUUUGUUCAAUACCUUUGAUUUUAAUGUCCACAACACGAAAAAAUAGAGGUUAAAGUAGCCUUUCUUUUAUUUUUACGGUUGUGUCUUGAUGAAAUAAAUGUGAAAAAAUGGUGGAAGGUUGUCGGUAAUGUUUAAAUGCUGUCGACUGUUUUUUUCCGGACCCUUUUACAAACAGAAUGAACAAAAGACGAUUUACUAAUUUUAUUAAUUCUAUUUUUCCGAUUUAUAAUUAAAAAAAAAC